AUUCAAUGGACUACUCAAGAUGUAAUUGGUUGACUGGAAAACGUUUCCACAAAUUUAACCUAACAUUUCAAGAGAAUGAAAUUGAUGGGGAUACGUUAAUGAACCUAAUUGAGAAGAAUAUGAUAGCUAAAUGUUUUCCUAAAAUGAAGGAUCAAGUUAAAUUCAUUAGACUACAGAAAAAAAGUGUAAGAUUACACACAUCAGUCAUAAGUGUCCAACAAGUGACCGAUAAAACAAGGUGUGCUUAUCCCUUGUCACCGAAUACCAGUUCUUGAGAGACAAAACUGGAAGAGAAUAUGUAAGUAAGGAACCACAAGAUUUCAUCAAGGGUCCAACAGAUAACCAGUUCAGUGGUACCAAAUACACCCAACCCGGUUCUACCGGUGCAGAUUCAAUCCUGGAGAUAAUGAUGGAAGGUGAGAAAGUCUGUGAGGUAGAAGAUGUCACCAGCUCUUGUUGUGCAGUCCACUUCAUCUUCAACAUUGAAUAAUUAAUUGUUUAAAUUACUGUAUGUUGGAGUGUAAAUACAUAAUGUGGAGGAAUCAACAUUAAUUUUUAAUUAUAUAUAUUUAAAUUAUACCAUGGGGCUGUUUAAUUCUUUAUUCUGAUUGGUUGAGAAAUGUUCCACGAGCAUGCAUUAUUUUUCGAUAACCGCACACCUAACUUGUCAAAUGUCUUAAAAAUAGGCAGCAGAGAAAUGUUUGUGGUAACUGUGGUAUAAGCAGAAUAAUUGACUGCGGUCCUUUGAAUUAUUUGAAAAUAAUGCACACCCGCGGUGUAAGGGCAACCCGCUUCGCGUCUUGCCACAUUACCACCUUGGGUGUGCAUUAUUUUCUUAUAAUUCAAUGGCCUGUCGUCAAUUAUUUCUUACAUAUAUCAAUGAUAUAUUCAUUUACAUUCUGUUAAAUGUUGAAUUAAAUUGUUGAAUGAUUGACUGAAAUAUUAAGGUUGUUUUUUAGAGAAUGUUUUGUCUUUAGCCUGUUUGUUUAAAGUGCUGUCAUGUUAUGUAUGCAAUAAACAUUUAAUGAAGUAUCAUGAUGUUGUGUCUGUUAUAAAAAAGUGUAAUGUAGUAAUUAAUAAUAAUAUAAUAAUAAUAAUAAUAAUAAUAAUAAUAAUAAUAGUAAUAACAAUAAUAAUAAUCAUUAUUAUUAUAAUGUCCAGAAGAAGGUUCGAAAAGGAACUCUGCUGGUUCUUUAAAGCACCUUCAAAAAAGGGUUCUAAUUGGAACCUUUUUAAAAAGGUUCAAAAAUGAACCUCAAAGGUUCCCCCACAGUUGCAAUCUCCAGGAACUUCAAAAGGUUCAUUUUAGAACCUUUUCU